rnacentral:rRNA from 1 species
UACAGAGGUCCCAAGCGUUGUUCGGAUUUACUGGGCGUAAAGGGUGCGUAGGCGGUGGGGUAAGUUUGAGGUGAAAGCUCCGGGCUCAACCCGGAAAAUGCCUUGAAAACUAUCCGGCUAGAGGGUUGGAGGGGAGACUGGAAUUCUCGGUGUAGCAGUGAAAUGCGUAGAUCUCGAGAGGAACACCAGUGGCGAAGGCGGGUCUCUGGACAACACCUGACGCUGAGGUACGAAAGCCAGGGGAGCAAACGGG